rnacentral:misc_RNA from 1 species
UCUCCGUAGGUGAACCUGCGGAAGGAUCAUUAUUGAAUAUUCUUGAUGGGUUGUAGCUGGCUCUCCGGGGCAUGUGCACACUUGUCUUGACUUUAUUCGUCCACCUGUGCACCUUUUGUAGUCUUGGGGAUUGAGAGCAAGUCGACUAUCGGAUGGCUAAGGCCUUUCCGGACGUGAGGAUUGCUGAGUGCGAAAGCAUACAGCUCUUCUUAAAUGACUUGUAAUAUCUCUUCCUCGAGUACUAUGUAUUCAUAUACCACAUAGUAUGUUGUAGAAUGUGAUCAAUGGGCCUAUGUGCCUAUAAUAAUGAUAUACAACUUUCAGCAACGGAUCUCUUGGCUCUC